rfam:Salmo salar isolate Sally breed double haploid chromosome ssa07, whole genome shotgun sequence.
GCCCCAGUGGCCUAAUGGAUAAGGCACUGGCCUCCUAAACCAGGGAUUGUGGGUUCAAGUCCCAUCUGGGGUG